rnacentral:rRNA from 1 species
UACGUAUGGUGCAAGCGUUAUCCGGAUUUACUGGGUGUAAAGGGAGCGCAGGCGGUAUGGCAAGUCUGAUGUGAAAGCCCGGGGCUCAACCCCGGUACUGCAUUGGAAACUACCAAACUAGAGUGUCGGAGGGGUAAGUGGAAUUCCUAGUGUAGCGGUGAAAUGCGUAGAUAUUAGGAGGAACACCAGUGGCGAAGGCGGCUUACUGGACGAUAACUGACGCUGAGGCUCGAAAGCGUGGGGAGCAAAC